rnacentral:rRNA from 1 species
GACGAACGCUGGCGGCGUGCUUAACACAUGCAAGUCGAACGGAAAGGCCCUGCUUUUGUGGGGUGCUCGAGUGGCGAACGGGUGAGUAACACGUGUGUAACCUGCCCUUGACUUUGGGAUAACUUCAGGAAACUGGGGCUAAUACCGGAUAGGAUCUCCUGCUGCAUGGUGGGGGUUGGAAAGUUUCGGCGGUUGGGGAUGGACUCGCGGCUUAUCAGCUUGUUGGUGGGGUAGUGGCUUACCAAGGCUUUGACGGGUAGCCGGCCUGAGAGGGUGACCGGCCACAUUGGGACUGAGAUACGGCCCAGACUCCUACGGGAGGCAGCAGUGGGGAAUAUUGCACAAUGGGCGGAAGCCUGAUGCAGCAACGCCGCGUGCGGGAUGACGGCCUUCGGGUUGUAAACCGCUUUCGCCUGUGACGAAGCGUGAGUGACGGUAAUGGGUAAAGAAGCACCGGCUAACUACGUG